rnacentral:lncRNA from 1 species
CCGGUGAUUGGAUCUGUGGUCAAGUAAUACUUAUGAGCUGGGCUGUGGCUUAGUUCCAGUAUGUUGGUGACAUUGCCAGAGGGAAAGAUUCUUCGGAUGUAGUUGAAAUCUCCAACGUAAAGACUUCCAUCAGAUCCACAUGUUAGGGCAACAGGAGCCAGGAGUUUGUUCCCAUCUGCAAGACCAUUGCAGCUUGGACACGAAAUGCUACGUCU